UACAGAGGUCCCGAGCGUUGUUCGGAUUCACUGGGCGUAAAGGGUGCGUAGGUGGUUGGGUAAGUUUGAUGUGAAAGCUCUGGGCUCAACCCAGAAAUGGCAUUGGAUACUAUCUGGCUAGAGGAAUGGAGGGGGGACUGGAAUACUUGGUGUAGCAGUGAAAUGCGUAGAUAUCAAGUGGAACACCAGUGGCGAAGGCGAGUCCCUGGACAUUUCCUGACACUGAGGCACGAAAGCUAGGGGAGCAAACAGG
rnacentral:rRNA from 1 species